CUAAGAUCUUCUCAGAAGGAAACUUCAAGAUAUAUGUCCCUACAGCUUCUGCUUGGAUAGAAUCUCCUCCAGCACCAUAGAGCUCGAAGUCUCCCUUCCUCAAACUUCUAAUUUUCUGCAGUCGCUGCAAUGAUUUGUAGAUAUGAAAACCACAGGCAAUAUCCAAUACCCAAGAGUUUGAAAUGGAAGAAUUCAAUGAUAAUAUUGUAU
rnacentral:lncRNA from 1 species